UAUAAUAUGAAAAUUAGUUCGUCCGUGAGGAAGUACGAGCGUCCCAGCCAGCCAGCGAAUUAUGAGAUUUCAACGACUUUCGAACGAGAAUUCGAGAGUGGCACAGUCUCUAGGGAAACACAAUGUGAGGAACCGCGACAUUUCGAUGGACCUGGCGCGCUUGUUCUACAUCGCGUUAUUAUCGAUUCGGAAGGAUCGUUGUUCGUCGGAAACGUCUGAAUGGAGGUUUCAUCGCUGUGAAGUCGCCGACGAAAAAGGCUGAAAAAGGGAAGACGAGAGACGGUGGCAGAGUGGGGAAAGGUGGGUCGAAGAGAGUCGCGGAAGAAGUGAAAAGCGUGAAAGUGGGUCGCGAAACGAAGCGCGGAAAGAAUUUUCUACGGAAACGUCGGGACCUUGCGCGUAUUUCUUCCCGUGGCAGCCAGAGGGACAGGAGCUUCCGGUUGCCGUGUUUCCGCUGCUUCGUACCGGAGUACAAGUGCGAGGAAAAAAAUAUACAAGAAAGGCCGCAGAGUACUGAAGAGGCAGAAACGUGCGAAAGAGAAGCUUCGAGCGACAAGGUAGCUAAGAGGACGUGCAAAUACAUGCGAGACCGAAAGGCCAACCAAGGUAAAUGCAGCCGUUUGUACGUAGAUGGGGGCUCUUAAAUUCUUCGCGGUAUGAAUUUUUAAUUUUCCUGUACUUUACGACUGCCCAUUAAAACGCAAAAGGAGGAAGGAACGAGUGAGUAGAGGGAGAGAGAGAGAGAAAGAGAGAGAAUGAGUGAAAUAGGCGGGGAAUGGGCGAGAAAGGAAAGUACUAGAAGCAAUGCCCAGCACGGGCCUCGAAGGCGGAAGCGUAGAAAAACGUGGAUGUAUAGAGCCCGCGGGAAUCUCUAGGUGGAGGUUAUAUUUUUCUCGGGGAACGCCUCUGACUAUGUACCACGAUUGCCCUGAGAUAUGCGGUUACGCCAAUUUAUCGGCGUAUAAUAGCUCGCGGCCAGUCCGAGGACGCACUUAAGCAUGAAUGCGAAAUCAAUACGCAGAGUUUUGUUCCUAGGUUUGCGUACCUCUUGCUAGACCGUGUAUAGAACUUUUAUUAUCGGAUUUUAUUCGUAGAUAGUGAAAUGAUAUUUGUCCUACUUUUUCACAAUCGUGUCAUUUUUAUUUUUAGUUUUUACCUUCGGUAAUUCCAUUCUGGUCACGCUAGUGAAAGUAACGCUUGAUCCUUUUAUACAUCUAAUUUUCUUAAACUUAUUUUUUUACUAUUAUAUACGAUAACACGAUAACGAUAGAGAAAAAAUGGAAAGGAAAUUUCGUACAUAAUAUAAUCCUUAAUUAUCACGGAUCUAUUUCCAACUAUGUUUUACAUUAAUACCAACUCUAUCGAGUUAUUAGUUGAAAUACCGCAUCGAGAAAUCUUUUCGAAGGGAACCUCGUCUAUUAUUGCUGUGAAAAUCUCCUGAUCCUUUAUAUGAUGGUGUUCUAAAUACCGAACGAAGCGGCAACGGUGAGUACGUUUUCAUGUACUCUGUGCAGUGCAAAUAAAUCACUCGUUAUCGAGCGUCCUAGGUGGUUAACCCGAAAAGUGUGCGUUCGUCGGGCUGCCAAGUUCCACCGGCUAUUCUAUUUGAGUGGAAAAAAUGCGCACUUUUCAGGAGCACCGACAGUUACAAAAAUCGAAAUCGGAAUUACGACGUUUCGUUAUGUUUCGUCAAUGCUUCUCUUCUUGUACGAAUUUCAAUUUCCCGUGAAAGCGUAAUGAUCUUGACGUACAGGGCGAUAAGAUGAUUUCGAACAUCCCACUGCAGGAAGCUAGGCCGCGUGCUGGUCGCGAGAGACCGCUUGGUAUUAGGUGUAGAAACCGACUGAGUUACGAGGGGUUAUAAAUUCCGAAUAUUGGAGUUCUGCCUUGCGAUCCCGUCCCUCUGGCUCCUGACUACCAGCCUCUACCGUACAAUGGAAGGAAUCUCCUAUCCGCGCAACUUGUCUUGACCUACUAUAAUGUCUGUCCAUACAAAAAUAGAAUGUCCAUUGGAGCGGACCGCAUGAACGCGGGCAAUCCUUACGUCAUUCGUGGUUGUACGCCAAUUGUUGCAUUUUCAAUGGAACAGAGGAAUUUGGGAAGGAAGAGUAAUGAAACUUGAAACCGGAUAUAUGGUCGAUAUUGGACGUGUAAUGCGCUCCGAAAUUCAAUGCGAUUAAUAAUCACUGAUUUAAUUAAUUAGCACAAAUUGCGUUUCAUAUUACGAAACUUUCUUUGGAUUAUUAAUUCGACUGUUUAAUUUUCGUUGGGACAGAUUAUACAGGCCCAUGGAAAUAUUUGAACGCUUAUCGUAGAAAACUUUUAUGCUUAUAUUGUGUGUCUGUCAUAUAAAACUUUGUGAAAAUGGGGCAUGUUUGUCAUGAUUAUCUUGGUUAUUCGAAACCAAUCUCACGAUCUUCAUAGAAGUUGCAGAAUAUUUACUGCAAACCUAUAUUUAGCAAAAAAUUAGUGCACAGUAUGGGUAGUUAUCUUAAGGAUAUGAUUAGUAAUAGUAAAAAUAAUCUCACUAAAUAUUGUGGGUUACUAACAUAACCAAUAAUUAAUUGUUCAAGUAUUUGUUUAUCUUUGCGAAGUGUGUAGCUCGCAAUAAAUAUCAUGUAAUUGCUACACGUAUACGUUUUCAUAUUGGUUUUAAAUAUCAAUGCAAUCAUGAUGGUCGUGUCUCAUUGCACUAACAAUUCGCGUAACGCACAUGAUAUAUUCAUAAGAGAUAUGUACAGCAGUCUUUGUGAAUCGCUUAAAAUGGCACGUAGUACUUCGAUUGACAAUAGAUUUUUAAUGAGCGCGUAAUAUGACAAAGAGAAUCGACUGAUCAUGGAAGCUAAUAAAAUUGAAUUAGCAGAUGAUCGAAAAUACGGUUGAGUGUACUUAUUUGACGUCAGGCUCAGGUCGUCUUUAACGGAAUAGAUUUUUUUCUCAGGAUGGCAAGACAUGACGUCACGGCUGAAACGAAAGGAAGGCAGUGCUGAAAGGAAGUGAACUAUCACGGAAAAUUGUGCAGCAGACCGUUCGGCCGGAAAAUCGACAGUUUCUUUUAUUUGUCAGGUCGCGCUUUCCAGGAUCAAAAGAAUGAAACUUUAAUUAGCAAAAGAGCAGGUACGUGCUGGCUCGGAUAGCUUAACAAGGGCUAGUCCUUCUGUACCUUCUUACGCAUUUUCACAAAGGAAAGCGCCGCUACUUGAUCCGAAAGAACGAGGCACCCGUAUCUCUGUUCAGCCAAUUUGGAACGCAACGUUGGCUGACGAAUAAUAACGCGAUUAUGAUUGACACGUUUUGAAAUGACACUGAAUGUUAUAUUAACCACUUUCGUUAUAAACUAAUUACGAAAUUAUCUAUUUUAACGCGUUGAUCAAUAUUCUAUAUAUUAUUAAUGUUGCAUUAACUAUACGGUAAGUAUUUCAUCAUAUCAAGCAUGCGAUAUUUCUUCUAGUUUAACAUGGAUACAUUUACAAAAUCGAAUUUGGAACUUAACCUAGUGCAAUUAACAUUGAAAUGAAACGUAUUUAAAAAUAACAUCUAAAACUAUACGCUGUUUAAAAUUUAAAUCUUUUAUAAUGAUUUAUUAAAUUAAUAAUGUUAUACUUAUUACAUCGAGACCAAGAAAUUCUUCCGUUUCCAAUAGAAAACACAGAAGAAUUGUUUGCACGAAAGUUCAUCUUAUACCAUUUCCAGGCCAAAGUUACGCCGCGAGGAAACUUUCAUCAGCGAUAAAAGUUUGAGUCUGAUAACAUUACUCAAUGAGACAGGAUGUUCUUUCACUAAAAUGCACGGAGGAGCACACACAUAUUUCAACGACUGAUGCGAACGUCUAGAAAUCAACUUUUAAAGGAGAUCGGCGUACGAAGCACGACGGAAGCAAGUAAGAAAGGGGUUGGGUGAUAGGCAAGAGCGAAGCGGGCCGUGCGCCCAGAGGGCGAGGCUACCACGAGGGGAAAGAGCGUGAGGGAGAGAAACGGGAUGGGAUGAGUAACGAGAUCAGGUACUCGAUAAGUUCUGACAAGCGCAAUUGCACUUUCGAACGGAGCUCGUCUAUGCUUAGACUGAGCAAUUCCGUGAGCCGAUUCUCCUUUUGUUCGUGUAGCUUGCGUAACGACCAAAGUUCUUCCGAUCGUUUUAUUCGGCGCGAUCUUUCGGCGUUAGAGGCGCGAUUCAGGUUUCUCCGAUACCUUCCCUCUGUUAUCAAGUAUCAGAAGUAAUAACGACUCAUUAAACGUCGACAAACGAGCAAAGGAGCGACCAACAAAACCUUGUUAACAAAGUCUUCUGAACUGUUUCGCUUGCUGGAGAAAAUCUGAAAAGAACGU